rnacentral:rRNA from 1 species
GGUAUUUUGACUAUACAAAGGUAUUGAAAUAAGACUUUAAUUGAGUGCUAAGAGAAUGGAAUUUCAUAAAAUUUCUUUUUUAAUUUUAAAAAUUGAAAUUAAUUUUAUAUGUGAAGAAACAAUAAUAAAAAUUAAGGACAAGAAGACCCUAAGAAUUUUAAAGAUUUCAAUAAAAUUUUGUAUUUUAUUGAAAUCUUUUAAUUGGGGCGAUUAUUAAAUAUUAAAAACUUUAAUUUUUUUAAAAAAGAACCAAUAAUAUUGGUUAUUUGAAAAAAUACUCUAGGGAUAACAGCGUAAUAAUUUUUGAUAGUUCUUAUAGACAAAAUAGUUUGCGACCUCGAUGUUGGAUUAGGAUUCUUUUUUAAUGAAGAAGUUAAAAAAAGAAGUUUGUUCAACUUUUAAAAUCCU